UACGGAGGGGGCUAGCGUUGUUCGGAAUUACUGGGCGUAAAGCGUACGUAGGCGGCUUUGUAAGUUAGAGGUGAAAGCCCGGGGCUCAACUCCGGAAUUGCCUUUAAGACUGCAUCGCUUGAAUCAUGGAGAGGUGAGUGGAAUUCCGAGUGUAGAGGUGAAAUUCGUAGAUAUUCGGAAGAACACCAGUGGCGAAGGCGGCCCAAUGGACAUGUAUUGACGCUGAGGUACGAAAGCGUGGGGAGCAAACAGG
rnacentral:rRNA from 1 species